rnacentral:rRNA from 1 species
CCUACGGGAGGCAGCAGUGGGGAAUAUUGGACAAUGGGCGAAAGCCUGAUCCAGCCAUGCCGCGUGUGUGAAGAAGGUCUUCGGAUUGUAAAGCACUUUAAGUUGGGAGGAAGGGCAGUAAGCGAAUACCUUGCUGUUUUGACGUUACCGACAGAAUAAGCACCGGCUAACUCUGUGCCAGCAGCCGCGGUAAUACAGAGGGUGCAAGCGUUAAUCGGAAUUACUGGGCGUAAAGCGCGCGUAGGUGGUUUGUUAAGUUGGAUGUGAAAGCCCCGGGCUCAACCUGGGAACUGCAUCCAAAACUGGCAAGCUAGAGUACAGUAGAGGGUGGUGGAAUUUCCUGUGUAGCGGUGAAAUGCGUAGAUAUAGGAAGGAACACCAGUGGCGAAGGCGACCACCUGGACUGAUACUGACACUGAGGUGCGAAAGCGUGGGGAGCAAACAGGAUUAGAUACCCCAGUAGUC